CAUGGCCAAACUUCGCCCUCCAGCUGUUUGGGGACUUCAGCUCCCAUCAUCCCUAGUUAACAGGACUAGUGGUCAGGGAUGAUGGGAACUGUAGUCCCAAAACAGCUGGAGGACCGAGUUUGGCCAUG